AUACAAGUUCCAAUUAAUUCAUUAAUAUUUCAAAAAUAUCUUUGUUUUAAUAGAAGUAAAAAUAUUCAACUACAUAAUAAUAAUAAAAACUAUAAAGUUGAACAGUUUUGUAAAUUGAAUGAGUUGCGUUACAAUUCUGAGGAUAUUUUUGAUUUAUGGUAAAUAUGGAGCAUUGUGACAGCAUAAAUCAAAAUUCAUAGGUAAUUUACUCGAGAUUUUGCAAUUUUUUUUUGAAACUAGUAACCUUGCUAAAGGGUUCCUAGCAAAUUAAAGGUUAUUUUUUUCAAACGAUAUAAUUAAUAACAUUUAAAACACAUGAAUUGUAUGGAAAUUAAACAUAAGUAAAUUAAAUCUUUUUAGCAUUCAUAAAUAUCAUACUACAAUUUUUAUUUACUUUAAAGUCUUGUAUUAAUAUUUAAAAUGUUAUUUGGUUGGCAAAAUAUUGAAUUCUCAAUGAGGCAAAAUCUUUUAGUCCAGACCGCUGUUGUGUUUUCUAUUUUAACUGCAGGGUAAAUUAUAUAAGUGGUGCCAUUUGAGUUUUUUAAUAGCAGUGUCAACAUUUAAGUAGGCCAUUUUUUUAUUACAGUAAAUAAAUGAGUCAAGUAUUAGGCAUUAGCCUAAUGAGGUUGAAGGGAAUAAUUAAUAUUUAAAUGAACUAAAAUUAUUAGUUAAUACAUUUUAUCACCUUUUGACAUACAGACAUAAUAUAUUAGGUAAAUUUAACACUAUUCUAUGUACAAUUCAUACAUAAAAGUACAUAACAUUGCGCUUAAUAGUUAAUACCUUAAUUUUUCUCUGAAAAGUAAUACCUAUUAUUAUGGUGCAUUGAAAAUCAAUAGUAUUCAAGGUAAAAUUGAGGUAAAAUAUCUUAGAUAUAAUUCUAUUCUAAUUUAUACUUUCAAAUUUUCAUUUAUUUUGUUAACGUUUUCUUUUUCUUGAGUUAUUAUGACUUUUAACCACUCAAUUAUUCAUCUUUCAUUAUAAUAUGCAGCACUAACUGGUAAAAUGUGAAUAAUUUGAUGUAUCUUGAAUGUUGCUGAAGGCUGUUUUGGAAGUUAUUAGAGUGUAUCAAUAAUUUGAAUUAAAAUCCGUUUAGAAAAUAUUUAUAUGUUGAAGUAAAUAAAAAAUAAAUUUUUAACACAUUCAUUUUAAAAUAUUAGUAGUGAUUUAAAAAUUGUUUAAGCUUAAGUAUUAACAUUUUGCAUUGAAGAAAUUAAGAUUGUUAUAAUCAAUUACCUGGAAAAUAUUUGUCAUAUUAUAGGUAGAUACUACAUAUUAUAUUGUACGCAUUGUAGUUUACACAAUAUAUUGUAUUGUUUACAUAUAGGUGUCUCACAUUUAUCUCAUAGAUUAGUAAAUUUAAUGAAAAGCUAAUAAAGCGUAAAAAUAGGUGGUGCACUGGUGAAAUUGUACACCCGGCUAUCCCCUCCCAAAUGACACCUGAGUUAAAUUGGUCUACUGCUAUUAAUAUAUAUGUUUAGUUGGAAUGCUAGUUUGAUAUGGAAAACAAUUUUGUGUUAACAAAUAAAUGUUUCAUUUCAUUUUUAGCAUUUGAAAGUACCUAUACCUUACUUGACUUAUUAGAGAAAUUAAAUUUAGUAUAGGUACAAGACCAAUAAUAACAUUAAUUUGUUUUUAAUAAAUAAAAAUAAUAAAUGUUCAUACAAUUGAUACCCAUGGACCACUAUUUAUAGGCAAUAAUUGGAAGAAACAAAAACUUUUUUUAUGAUAUUAGAUAGGCAUAUGGCUACAAUAUAUAUUACUUAACAGUUCGAGUAUAACUAUUGGCAAUGGUUUUUUAAAAUUGAUCAAUAACUCACAGGAGUGAAUAGGAAAAGAUCAGUUUUGACUUUUGAGAGAAAUUCACUCCUUUUUACAAUCAAUUAUAGCCUAUAGGACACAGAACAAGCCAUUGUGUAUGUAAAAAUUAUACAAAUAUAUUAAAUGACAUUUUGAAAUAUCUUUUAUAGUGCAAAGUUAGCUACAAUUUUAUAAAUUAUGAACUAAAUUUAAUCACAUUUUAAUCAUACAAAUUUAUAUAUAAUAUUUAAAGAAGUAGUAGUCUUGAAAUACCAUUGCUUUUGUUGAUCAACUGUAAAAUAAAAAAUGUAGAAUUGACUAAAUAAUAUGUACUAAACUUUUAAUUUAGACAUUCCUCGAACUUCUAAAGAAAUUAUCAAUAGUUUCCACAUCACACAUAAGUAUACCUAACAUAACGAAAACGUCGACGGAUUUUGUACAGAAUUUGCUCUCAAGCUAUAGAUGUGCAACGAUAAUACAGAUGAGCGCGCAGGCGACACAAAUCUCACAAGCAUGUGAACGAGAAUCAAUAGUUUAGGGCCCCCCGUCACUCGUCCAGGUUUAUUAUGGCCACGGGACUUUUAUGAGAUAAAAUGAAGAGCAUUCCAGAGCAAUCGUCGCAUAGUCAACAUUCCAUCCACAACCGACUACUAAUAAAAUAUACCGAUUAUAAUUUUCAAGUCUAACUUCAAACUUCUCGAAAACUACAGUUAGACAGGGAGGUUAAAAAAAUGAAUUCUUACAUCAUUGUUUCGUAGCGAUAUAGACUAUUACAAUAAAUUUAUACGGCUCUUUACAUACAUUAUGGUACUGAAUCAUAUAGUAUUAUUCUAAUAGAUAACAAUAUAACUUUUUCAAUGAUUUUUUGUAUGUGUUUUCUCAUUUUCCUUUAACAAUCAGUGGUGUAAACACUACAAGCGUCAUAUUAGAAAAUGUUGAUGGAAAUUCCUUCACGAUUUUCCCAAUGAACCUUGACCUAUUAUAUUACUAUACAUAUAUAUAUAAACACUCAUACCAAAUUAAUCGUGAUGGAUCUCCCAGUUGGUGGCAUUAUUUAGGACUAUAUAGAUAUAUUAGCUGAAGUGAUGUGACGAAAAGAUCGGGGAUAAUGCAAUAUACUAUGAAUAACUUCAAUGAACAAUAACAAUUAAAAAUUCUUUGUGUAAUAUAAAUAUAAGAUAAUAUUUAAUUCAAAUUAGUGAUGUACAUAAAAUGUAAAAAAAUCAAUUGUUAUAGGUUGCAUAUUUAAUAAGUAAUACAUAUUAUACGGAUUUCCAAACAAUAUAUUUUAUAAAAAAAAACUAUAUAUUUUGUUCUACGUAUGCAUAGAUUGGAAAACAGAUAGGUAAUUGGUAAAUUAUAGAAAAAAUAAACUAGACAUUUGAGUGAGUUUCCGAAGGCCUAACAAUUUAAAUUUAGUUCAGAAAAUAAGGGGCCAAAUGGACGGGGAGACAGUCUCAAGAAAGAAUAGUAACUUCACCAUUAUUCCAAACAGUCUGGUCAUACACAAAAUGUUGUUCUGACUUCUGACUGUAGUCUAUAAUUCAUACAUAAUUUUCUUUAAUCUACAAGAUUAGAAGCGGCUAGACGCGAGACAUAUACACAAAUAGUUCAAGUUGGUUUUCUUAUUUACAAACGAAGAUUGAGUGAAAAUUACAUUAACAGAACCAAAACAUACGUUAGGUACACAUUUAUACCCAACUUUAAUCGUGAUACCGAUCAAAUCAAUGUUUGUGAAUAACUUAGGUAUUGAACUUGCAGUGUUGUUUAAACUAAUAUCCGAUUAUUUGGGUUCUGGCCGUUCUGGGUAUGAUUGAAUACAUUAGUCCAGUAAUAGAUUCUCUAAUAUUCUUUAUUCUUAUCAAAAAGCACAUAAAUUCACUAACAAGCAACAACGAGUAACUAACUAUUCUGCAUUUCCUGCCAUGUGAUACAUCCAUCAUACAGAGCGAGACAGGGCCUUAAUUUCCUUAGAACACUCUCACAUAAUAUACACGUACUAUAUAUGUGGUCGGGCGAAUGGAAAA